GCUGCUGUAGCGCGGGUGUCGCGUCAGCCCUCGCUGGCAGGGCCGGGCGGCUUCGCUCGCGCGCCUCGGAAGCAGGUGGGGGGCUGCUUCCCGGGGGAGCGCGGUAGCGGCAGCCGGUGUCUGGUCUGCAGGGCUCUCCGCAGCUGCUCUUUGCUUGGGCAAAUGGGCAGUGGGUGCCUUGCACUGCUCAGCCUCAGAGCACUUCCAGGAGGGAAGCUGAUUCCUUCUUUUCCUCCAGAUGCAAGGGGAUAAAUGCUGUGGCAAGCUGAAGAGCUCAGACUCACCUGUGAUAUACUGUAUGGCCUGUCGUACAGUGCUCGGUUGUGGUAUUUUGGAAAGGCUACUGAAGAAUCCUUAUAAAACUGGUGGAAUGCAAGUGUUAAUGCUGUUUCUGUUCCUGUAAGCUGCUUUUGCUAAACAGGCCCUGGGCUCUGGCUGGCGGAAGAGACCACAACUGCUAAGAAGAGGCAUCACUAACUGGAGCCAACAAUAGCAAAUGCUGACAGAGAGGAAAGCUGGACAAGCAUCUUUUUGUGAUUAAUACCUAAGGGAUGGGAUGAAACAAGGAAGCAAAAAUGCAGCGGACCCCUGAUAUCCCCUGCAACCGCUACAGAAGGAGGUGUUCUGCCACCCUGCCACCGACAAGUGCUGAAGCAUCGUCUGGCAGUUGAAAGAGCAUUGUCACAGCUGGGAGCUCUCCGCAGAGAUCUGUGGCUGGCUGCAGAAGACAAGCCCUGAAUUGCAGCGUGGACACAGCUAAGUCCUGGGGCUGUGCUGUAUGUGAGCAGGGCUGGGAGGUUGCAGGUGGUUUGGCCCUUGGUGGUUACAGUUGUCACUGGCUGUGGAUGGUUGCCCAUGGAGCUGAGAUAAGCAAAAAUAUUAAUGGUCUGUAACAAAGAGGAAUUAUUGCUUGCGGUGUUUAGAUAUGUUUGGUGUUAGCACAGCUUAGUGCAGUCCAGUGACAUGAUUCUUGCACGUGCUCACAUUUGAACGGUGGCUAAAAGCUAGCCUAUAAACAGCAACAGUAACAGGAUUCUGGUGCACACCUUCCUGUUCUGCUGCCCUUCUAAAUGAAGGGGAAACAUCUUUCCUUGCUUAAAGCUAAGGGUUUGGACUUUUUCACUUGAGGUUUAUUUAUUUUGUUGUUGAGGGUCUCUUACGCAGGGGUUAUGGUUUCUUACUUUAUUUUGUGGGGUUCAGCCUUUAGCAGUCACAGUUCACAGGUCGCUCAUCUAGCGAUCAGGGUGCAGGAUUUAAAAUCCAACCUCAUCCCUAGAUUUUACAGCCUCAGCCACCAUUUGGGUGCCAACAUGUGCAGUUUGUCACUUAAGGUUCAGGGCUUAGGGCUUACUGAUUAAUGAAAAAUCCAUAGAUAAUAAACUGUACGCCCUGAAGCCUAGGCAGCCUAAGGCUACGAACCCUCGUUCGAGGUUUCUCAUCUUCCCCUGUACCCAGUGUUCAAUUCUGUGCACUGACACAAGGUCUGGGUUUCGUGUGGUCCAGGCCCAUCCAUUGGGACUGGUGAUGUGACAGGCGAGCUGAGAGCUGUGAAAGUGUCCUGCAGGGCUCUAAUCUGGGGCAAGGCAAAAGCACAGACAGGUGAGAUCAAGCAUAGUCUUCUAAAUUCUCAGAGUUGAAUCCUAUCCCUGAAGGAAAAAGCAGAAAAGGAAAAAGCAGAAGGGGUAGGCUGUCAGCUACGCAGACACCUGCCUCGUCAAGGGCAGCAGCAGGAGCUGACCCUUCCCUGACGGACGGACGGAUGCUGGUGAUGACUCUUCAGGUGUCACAGGGUAAGGGGAAGCAUGCUGGCACCCAGCUCUGUGGCAGACUCACUUCCAGGUCAUGUUUC